rnacentral:rRNA from 1 species
CGUUCUGUAAGCCUGUGAAGGUGUGCUGUGAGGCAUGCUGGAGGUAUCAGAAGUGCGAAUGCUGACAUAAGUAACGAUAAAGCGGGUGAAAAGCCCGCUCGCCGGAAGACCAAGGGUUCCUGUCCAACGUUAAUCGGGGCAGGGUGAGUCGACCCCUAAGGCGAGGCCGAAAGGCGUAGUCGAUGGGAAACAGGUUAAUAUUCCUGUACUUGGUGUUACUGCGAAGGGGGGACGGAGAAGGCUAUGUUGGCCGGGCGACGGUUGUCCCGGUUUAAGCGUGUAGGCUGGUUUUCCAGGCAAAUCCGGAAAAUCAAGGCUGAGGCGUGAUGACGAGGCACUACGGUGCUGAAGCAACAAAUGCCCUGCUUCCAGGAAAAGCCUCUAAGCAUCAGGUAACAUCAAAUCGUACCCCAAACCGACACAGGUGGUCAGGUAGAGAAUACCAAGGCGCUUGAGAGAACUCGGGUGAAGGAACUAGGCAAAAUGGUGCCGUAACUUCGGGAGAAGGCACGCUGAUAUGUAGGUGAAGUCCCUCGCGGAUGGAGCUGAAAUCAGUCGAAGAUACCAGCUGGCUGCAACUGUUUAUUAAAAACACAGCACUGUGCAAACACGAAAGUGGACGUAUACGGUGUGACGCCUGCCCGGUGCCGGAAGGUUAAUUGAUGGGGUCAGCGCAAGCGAAGCUCUUGAUCGAAGCCCCGGUAAACGGCGGCCGUAACUAUAACGGUCCUAAGGUAGCGAAAUUCCUUGUCGGGUAAGUUCCGACCUGCACGAAUGGCGUAAUGAUGGCCAGGCUGUCUCCACCCGAGACUCAGUGAAAUUGAACUCGCUGUGAAGAUGCAGUGUACCCGCGGCAAGACGGAAAGACCCCGUGAACCUUUACUAUAGCUUGACACUGAACAUUGAGCCUUGAUGUGUAGGAUAGGUGGGAGGCUUAGAAGUGUGGACGCCAGUCUGCAUGGAGCCGACCUUGAAAUACCACCCUUUAAUGUUUGAUGUUCUAACGUUGACCCGUAAUCCGGGUUGCGGACAGUGUCUGGUGGGUAGUUUGACUGGGGCGGUCUCCUCCUAAAGAGUAACGGAGGAGCACGAAGGUUGGCUAAUCCUGGUCGGACAUCAGGAGGUUAGUGCAAUGGCA